AGUCACUGACAUUAGAUACCCGGUAGUCCAGGGUGUAAACGCUGCAGACUUGGUGUUGGAAGCCCUUUGGGGGCAUUCAGUGCCGGAGAGAAGUUGUUAAGUCUGCUACUUGGGAGUACGUCCGCAAGGAUGAAACUUAAAGGAAUUGGCGGGGGAGCACCGCAACGGGAGGAGCGUGCGGUUUAAUUGGAUUCAACACCGUAAAACUCACCAGGGAAGACUGUUACAUGAAAGCCGAGAUGAAGACUCUGCUAGAUUUUCAG
rnacentral:rRNA from 1 species